GCCAGCCCGGGUGGCCGCGUGCAGGGCUCAGGGAAGUGAGCCCAGCAGGGAAGAUGGAGCUGGCCACGCGCUCCCAGCUGGAUGCCUUUCCUUCAAGAGGAUGCAGAACGGAUCCGUGCAGAAGGAGAGCACAUUGCAUGUUGGGCCUGUUGGCCUAAAUUUUGAAGUGGUCUCAGCCCCUGCUGGAGACCUCCCAGCCACUAUUAUGAGGGCCUCAAAGUUAUCCCGAGGGUAACAGAUCCCCAAAGAAGUAGCUGACAUCUUCAGUGCUCCCAGUGACGAUGAAGAGUUUGUGGGUUUCCAGGAUGAUGUUCCCAUGCAAAACCUGUCAGAGAGCUGUGGUAGUUUGGACUCACGGGAGUUGGAGAAACAGCAGAAUGUGUGCUUCCGUUCCAAAUACUUCACAGAAGAACUAAGAAGGAUUUUCAAAGAGGACACGGACUCAGAAAUGGAAGAUUUUGAAGGAUUUACAGAGAGCGAGCUGAACAUGAGCAGUAACCCAGAGCUCAUGGAGUCGGAGCUGAGUGACAGUGACAAAGCAUACCCUGUGAUGAAUGAUGCGGAGGAAGAUGAUGAAGAGGAGGCUGCACCUAGAAGGGGCAGGUCCACAAGAAGAAGCAGUUUCGGUCUUCGGGUAGCCUUUCAGUUCCCCACCAAAAAAUUGGCAAGAACACCAGAUAAAGAUAGCUCACACUUGCUGGACAGUAAGACGGAUCUUAGAAGAAAGAAGAGCUCCAGACAGCCCAAGGGAAAGGAGGACUCUGCUUCUGAUGCCGAGGAUGAGUCCAGAGCUGAGAGCCAAGAGAAUUCGGAUGCUCUGCUGAAAAGGGCCAUGAACAUCAAAGAGAACAAGGCUAUGCUUGCUCAGUUGUUGGCGGAAUUGAAUUCGGUGCCAGAUUUCUUCCCUGUUCGGACACCACCUUCGGCUUCUAGGAGGCGAACACCACGACGGGCCUUCUCAGAGGGACAGAUCACACGGCGCAUGAACCCAACCCGGAGUGCACGACCCCCUGAAAAGUUUGCUCUGGAGAACUUCACCUUCUCAGCCACCAAGCUUACUGAAGAGCUUUACAGUUUCAGAAGAAGAAAGACAAUCAGUGGGGGGAAAUGCCAGACGUAUAGACGUCAUCGGAUAUCUUCUUUCCGCUCAGUGAAAGACAUCACUGAGGAAGACUUGGAAAACAUUGCCAUAACUGUGCGUGAUAAAGUCUAUGAUAAAGUGCUUGGUAACACGUGCCAUCAGUGCCGGCAGAAGACCAUCGAUACCAAGACGGUCUGUCGGAACCAGAGCUGUGGUGGUGUGCGGGGACAGUUCUGUGGGCCCUGCCUGCGGAAUCGCUAUGGGGAGGAUGUGCGGACAGCGUUGCUGGAUCCGAAGUGGACAUGUCCUCCCUGCCGUGGCAUCUGCAAUUGCAGUUACUGCCGGAGGCGAGAUGGCCGCUGUGCUACUGGAAUUCUCAUUCAUCUGGCCAAGUUCUACGGUUAUGAUAAUGUCAAGGAGUACCUGGAGAGCUUACAGAAGCAGCUGUAGAAGACAGUCGAGAGGAGAGGGAUCGCUCGAACUUAACCAGGCGGAGUCCCACGAGACGAGUCUGCUCUUUGUGCCAGCCUUAGACGCUUGUUUUCUAGAAUUUACUGGUUCUACUGCUAUUGUUUCUUAAAAGAUGUUUAUAUGCUUAAAAAGGUUUCUCAGGAAAUAUAGUAAAGCAGAGAAAUCUGUAUCCAUACCUGCAUAGACCUGUAUUGUGACAAGUGUCUGCUGAAGAGUUAAAAGCACAGUUUGAGUGGGGCAGAGUUAAUGCUCAGGUAAGUUAUAAAGAAGACCUUGUCUGACAGCUCUCGCCUUUGAUACUCAGUUCCCCCACGGUCACUCCCUUCCUGCAGAGGCUGUUGCUUUGCCUCCUGAGUGACCAUAGCUCAAACCUGAUAGUUUAUCCUGCUCUGGAUAUUAAAUUCUGGGUCAUUAGGAAUUUAUAUUGAAGAAUGUUACUCUAAACUACCAAGUGCAAUUAACCACACACUGUGAGUAAGGUGUCCUUUUUAUUAAGAGACAAUAGAAACAGACACUGGAGGCCUCACUGUGCUUGCCUCUUCCUUCAGGACCUGCCUGGAGCCUGCUGCUUCUAUUUUUUUAAAAAAAAAUUUUUAUAGAUUAUGCUUUUUAUAGAACACUCACUGCAUUGUUUCCAAGUCUUAGGGAUACAAGAUAAGCCAUGGUGUUUUGAAUGGGUGUUGGGGGAAGCUAAAAUCAAUAAGUAUUCAUCCCUUAUAGGUGUGUAGUGUUUGGUCCUUGUGUACUGUGAUUACUCGCCCUCCUCAAAGAAUAAUUCUCUAACAAAAGAAUGUAUACCCCUGUUACUAAAACAUCCUUGCUGUGUCUGGCUGAAGCUGGAGGGACGUGAGCUGUAAAACCAAGGCCGUUCAUGCUUCCAGCAGUAGAGCCACACCUGCCAGUACCCACUUAGCUAUCCUGUCUUUGCUCCUUAGCCUGAACGUCCACACGUAGGUGGGGCCUCUCGCUUUGGUUUUGUAAACAGGGCACUCGUAGGCAUGCUUAAUUUCUUGUCUGUCCACGGGCACGGCUUUGGCAAAGAUGACGGGCAUCAUGGACGUUAACUCCUUAAGGCGGGCAUCAACAAGGGCUCCUGACUGGAUGUCCCACCUGGCACCUGUGGCAGAGACAACAGUUGUGUAACUGGCAUGCGGGUUCUGAUGCUCUUAAUUGUUCCAUGCAAUAAAUGUUCCACUUUGA